rnacentral:sRNA from 1 species
GGGAAGGAUUGAAUACAGAGACGCUGUCUGCUUGCUGCCUUAAGACAGCUAGCUGAAUUGCUGAUUAACUUUUAAAAUACCCAGCUUGGUUUAUUUUUCUUAGAAUCUGUUGCUAAGACUGGGGACGCUGUUUUCUUUUACAAAGGGAAAUCUAAGUUAAUUUCAAGGCAUUCGAAAUGGGGAAAGACUAUUAUUGCAUUUUGGGAAUUGAGAAAGGAGCUUCAGAUGAAGAUAUUAAAAAGGCUUACCGAAAACAAGCCCUCAAAUUUCAUCCAGACAAGAACAAAUCUCCUCAGGCAGAGGAAAAAUUUAAAGAGGUCGCAGAAGCUUAUGAAGUAUUGAGUGAUCCUAAAAAGAGAGAAAUAUAUGAUCAGUUUGGGGAGGAAGGCAUUGUGUGGCUGCUCAAUUAAUGUACCAACACUGGAUGGAAGAAACAUACCUAUGUCAGUAAAUGAUAUUGUGAAACCCGGAAUGAGGAGAAGAAUUAUUGGAUAUGGGCUGCCAUUUCCAAAAAAUCCUGACCAACGUGGUGACCUUCUAAUAGAAUUUGAGGUGUCCUUCCCAGAUACUAUAUCGUCUUCAUCCAAAGAAGUACUUAGGAAACAUCUUCCUGCCUCAUAGAAUGAAGAACUUUGUUACCCAUAUUUUGAUAAGGCACUGAAAAUAUAAAAGG